rnacentral:rRNA from 1 species
UACCAGCACCCCGAGUGGUCGGGACGUUUAUUGGGCCUAAAGCAUCCGUAGCCGGUUCUGCAAGUCUUCCGUUAAAUCCACCUGCUUAACAGAUGGGCCGCGGAAGAUACUAUAGAGCUAGGAGGCGGGAGAGGCAAGCGGUACUCGAUGGGUAGGGGUAAAAUCCGUUGAUCCAUUGAAGACCACCAGUGGCGAAGGCGGUUCGUCCAGAACGCGCUCGACGGUGAGGGAUGAAAGCUGGGGGAGCAA